GUUGUAUGGUUAAGUGACUAAGCGUACACGGUGGAUGCCUUGGCAGUCAGAGGCGAUGAAAGACGUAGUAACUUGCGAUAAGCCCAGAUUAGGUAGUAACAACCAUUUGAGUCUGGGAUUUCUGAAUGGGGAAACCCACGUGCAUAAGCACGUAUCCUUACCUGAAUACAUAGGGUAAGGAGGCGAACCGGGGGAACUGAAACAUCUAAGUACCCCGAGGAAAAGAAAUCAACCGAGAUUCCGAAAGUAGCGGCGAGCGAAAUUGGACUAGCCCUUAAGCUUUACACGCGUUAGACGAACGGUCUGGAAAGUCCGACGAUACAGGGUGAUAGUCCCGUAGUUGACGACGUGUGUUCAGUGAAAUCGAGUAGGGCGGGACACGUGAUAUCCUGUCUGAAUAUGGGGGGACCAUCCUCCAAGGCUAAAUACUACUGACUGACCGAUAGUGAACCAGUACCGUGAGGGAAAGGCGAAAAGAACCCCUGUGAGGGGAGUGAAAUAGAACCUGAAACCGUGUACGUACAAGCAGUAGGAGCACCUUCGUGGUGUGACUGCGUACCUUUUGUAUAAUGGGUCAGCGACUUAUAUUCAGUGGCAAGGUUAACCAUCUAGGGGAGCCGUAGGGAAACCGAGUCUUAACUGGGCGUUCAGUCUCUGGAUAUAGACCCGAAACCAGGUGAUCUAGCCAUGGGCAGGUUGAAGGUUGAGUAACAUCAACUGGAGGACCGAACCGACUAAUGUUGAAAAAUUAGCGGAUGACUUGUGGCUAGGGGUGAAAGGCCAAUCAAACCUGGAGAUAGCUGGUUCUCCCCGAAAGCUAUUUAGGUAGCGCCUCGGACGAAUACUACUGGGGGUAGAGCACUGUUAAGGCUAGGGGGUCAUCCCGACUUACCAACCCUUUGCAAACUCCGAAUACCAGUAAGUACUAUCCGGGAGACACACGGCGGGUGCUAACGUCCGUCGUGGAGAGGGAAACAACCCAGACCGCCAGCUAAGGUCCCAAAUUACUACUAAGUGGGAAACGAUGUGGGAAGGCUCAGACAGCCAGGAUGUUGGCUUAGAAGCAGCCAUCAUUUAAAGAAAGCGUAAUAGCUCACUGGUCGAGUCGGCCUGCGCGGAAGAUGUAACGGGGCUAAGUAGUAAACCGAAGCUGCGGCAAUAUACUUUUGUAUAUUGGGUAGGGGAGCGUUCUGUAAGCGGUUGAAGGUGUGUGGUAACGCAUGCUGGACGUAUCAGAAGUGCGAAUGCUGACAUGAGUAACGAUAAAGGGGGUGAAAAACCCCCUCGCCGGAAGACCAAGGGUUCCUGUCCAACGUUAAUCGGGGCAGGGUAAGUCGACCCCUAAGGCGAGGCCGAAAGGCGUAGUCGAUGGGAAACGGGUUAAUAUUCCCGUACUUCUUACAAUUGCGAUGGGGGGACGGAGAAGGCUAGGUGGGCCUGGCGACGGUUGUCCAGGUUCAAGUGCGUAGGCUUAAGAGUUAGGUAAAUCCGGCUCUUUUUAAGGCUGAGACACGACGUCGAGCACCUACGGGUGUGAAGUCAUUGAUGCCAUGCUUCCAGGAAAAGCCUCUAAGCUUCAGAUUGUAAGGAAUCGUACCCCAAACCGACACAGGUGGUCGGGUAGAGAAUACCAAGGCGCUUGAGAGAACUCGGGUGAAGGAACUAGGCAAAAUGGUACCGUAACUUCGGGAGAAGGUACGCUCUCGACGGUGAAGUCCCUUGCGGAUGGAGCUAUUGAGAGUCGCAGAUACCAGGUGGCUGCAACUGUUUAUUAAAAACACAGCACUGUGCAAAAUCGUAAGAUGACGUAUACGGUGUGACGCCUGCCCGGUGCCGGAAGGUUAAUUGAUGGGGUUAGACUUCGGUCGAAGCUCUUGAUCGAAGCCCCGGUAAACGGCGGCCGUAACUAUAACGGUCCUAAGGUAGCGAAAUUCCUUGUCGGGUAAGUUCCGACCUGCACGAAUGGCGUAAUGAUGGCCACGCUGUCUCCACCCGAGACUCAGUGAAAUUGAAAUCGCUGUGAAGAUGCAGUGUACCCGCGGCUAGACGGAAAGACCCCGUGAACCUUUACUACAGCUUGGCACUGAACAUUGACCCUACAUGUGUAGGAUAGGUGGGAGGCUUUGAAGCACGUACGCCAGUAUGUGUGGAGCCGUCCUUGAAAUACCACCCUUGUAGUGUUGAUGUUCUAACGUCGACCCCUUAUCGGGGUUGCGGACAGUGCCUGGUGGGUAGUUUGACUGGGGCGGUCUCCUCCCAAAGAGUAACGGAGGAGCACGAAGGUGGGCUAAUCACGGUUGGACAUCGUGAGGUUAGUGCAAUGGCAUAAGCCCGCUUGACUGCGAGAAUGACAAUUCGAGCAGGUGCGAAAGCAGGUCAUAGUGAUCCGGUGGUUCUGAAUGGAAGGGCCAUCGCUCAACGGAUAAAAGGUACUCCGGGGAUAACAGGCUGAUACCGCCCAAGAGUUCAUAUCGACGGCGGUGUUUGGCACCUCGAUGUCGGCUCAUCACAUCCUGGGGCUGAAGUCGGUCCCAAGGGUAUGGCUGUUCGCCAUUUAAAGUGGUACGCGAGCUGGGUUUAGAACGUCGUGAGACAGUUCGGUCCCUAUCUGCCGUGGGCGUUGGAAGAUUGAAGGGGGCUGCUCCUAGUACGAGAGGACCGGAGUGGACGAACCUCUGGUGUUCGGGUUGUGUCGCCAGACGCAUUGCCCGGUAGCUAAGUUCGGAAUCGAUAACCGCUGAAAGCAUCUAAGCGGGAAGCGAGCCCUGAGAUGAGUCUUCCCUGAUACUUUAAGUAUCCUAAAGGGUUGUCGGAGACUACGACGUUGAUAGGUCAGGUGUGUAAGUGCUGUGAGGCAUUGAGCUAACUGAUACUAAUUGCCCGUGAGGCUUAACCAUACAACACCCAAGGGGUUU
rnacentral:rRNA from 1 species